rnacentral:rRNA from 1 species
UGACGAGUGGCGGACGGGUGAGUAAUGUCUGGGAAACUGCCUGAUGGAGGGGGAUAACUACUGGAAACGGUAGCUAAUACCGCAUAACGUCGCAAGACCAAAGAGGGGGACCUUCGGGCCUCUUGCCAUCGGAUGUGCCCAGAUGGGAUUAGCUAGUAGGUGGGGUAACGGCUCACCUAGGCGACGAUCCCUAGCUGGUCUGAGAGGAUGACCAGCCACACUGGAACUGAGACACGGUCCAGACUCCUACGGGAGGCAGCAGUGGGGAAUAUUGCACAAUGGGCGCAAGCCUGAUGCAGCCAUGCCGCGUGUAUGAAGAAGGCCUUCGGGUUGUAAAGUACUUUCAGCGGGGAGGAAGGGAGUAAAGUUAAUACCUUUGCUCAUUGACGUUACCCGCAGAAGAAGCACCGGCUAACUCCGUGCCAGCAGCCGCGGUAAUACGGAGGGUGCAAGCGUUAAUCGGAAUUACUGGGCGUAAAGCGCACGCAGGCG